rnacentral:tRNA from 1 species
GGGCGAAUAGCUUAGUCGGUAGAGCAGAUCCCUCUUAAGGAUAAGGUCCUGGGUUCGAAUCCCAGUUCGCCCA